rnacentral:rRNA from 1 species
AGUGAACGCUGGCGGUAGGCCUAACACAUGCAUGUCGAACGGCAGCACAGUAAGAGCUUGCUCUUACGGGUGGCGAGUGGCGGACGGGUGAGGAAUACAUCGCAAUCUACUUUUUCGUGGGGGAUAACGUAGGGAAACUUACGCUAAUACCGCAUACGACCUACGGGUGAAAGCAGGGGAUCUUCGCACCUUGCGCGAUUGAAUGAGCCGAUGUCGGAUUAGCUAGUUGGCGGGGUAAAGGCCCACCAAGGCGACGAUCCGUAGCUGGUCUGAGAGGAGGAUCAGCCACACUGGAACUGAGACACGGUCCAGACUCCUACGGGAGGCAGCAGUGGGGAAUAUUGGACAAUGGGCGCAAGCCUGAUCCAGCCAUACCGCGUGGGUGAAGAAGGCCUUCGGGUUGUAAAGCCCUUUUGUUGGGAAAGAAAAGCAGCAGGUUAAUACCCCGCUGUUCUGACGGUACCCAAAGAAUAAGCACCGGCUAACUUCGUG